CCUACGGGAGGCAGCAGUGGGGAAUAUUGGACAAUGGGGGCAACCCUGAUCCAGCCAUGCCGCGUGUGUGAAGAAGGCCCUCGGGUUGUAAAGCACUUUCAGUGAGGAAGAACGCCUGGUGGUUAAUACCCAUCAGGAAAGACAUCACUCACAGAAGAAGCACCGGCUAACUCCGUGCCAGCAGCCGCGGUAAUACGGAGGGUGCGAGCGUUAAUCGGAAUUACUGGGCGUAAAGCGCGCGUAGGUGGCUUGAUAAGCCGGUUGUGAAAGCCCCGGGCUCAACCUGGGAACGGCAUCCGGAACUGUCAAGCUAGAGUGCAGGAGAGGAAGGUAGAAUUCCCAGUGUAGCGGUGAAAUGCGUAGAGAUCGGGAGGAAUACCAGUGGCGAAGGCGGCCUUCUGGACUGACACUGACACUGAGGUGCGAAAGCGUGGGUAGCAAACAGGAUUAGAUACCCUUGUAGUC
rnacentral:rRNA from 1 species